rnacentral:rRNA from 1 species
AUUGAACGCUGGCGGCAUGCCUUACACAUGCAAGUCGAACGGUAACAGGUCUUCGGAUGCUGACGAGUGGCGAACGGGUGAGUAAUACAUCGGAACGUGCCCGAUCGUGGGGGAUAACGAGGCGAAAGCUUUGCUAAUACCGCAUACGAUCUACGGAUGAAAGCGGGGGAUCUUCGGACCUCGCGCGGACGGAGCGGCCGAUGGCAGAUUAGGUAGUUGGUGGGAUAAAAGCUUACCAAGCCGACGAUCUGUAGCUGGUCUGAGAGGAUGAUCAGCCACACUGGGACUGAGACAUGGCCCAGACUCCUACGGGAGGCAGCAGUGGGGAAUUUUGGACAAUGGGCGAAAGCCUGAUCCAGCCAUGCCGCGUGCAGGAUGAAGGCCUUCGGGUUGUAAACUGCUUUUGUACGGAACGAAAAGCCUCUUUCUAAUAAAGAGGGGUCAUGACGGUACCGUAAGAAUAAGCACCGGCUAACUACGUG